rnacentral:rRNA from 1 species
AUACAGAGGGUGCGAGCGUUAAUCGGAAUUACUGGGCGUAAAGCGCGCGUAGGCGGCUUAUUAAGUCAGAUGUGAAAUCCCCGGGCUCAACCUGGGAACUGCAUCUGAUACUGGUAAGCUAGAGUUUUGGAGAGGGAAGUAGAAUUUCAGGUGUAGCGGUGAAAUGCAUAGAGAUCUGAAGGAAUACCAGUGGCGAAGGCGACUUCCUGGCCAAAAACUGACGCUGAGGUGCGAAAGCGUGGGUAGCAAACGGGAGUAGAAACCCUAGUAGUCC